rnacentral:lncRNA from 1 species
UCAAAUUGCUAAAUUAUAAUUAUCCUAGGUCAUAAGUAAUUUCAUUGAUGCACGAUCUCCUAACUUCAGCCAAUUUACAUAUCUUGUUCAUCUACUUCUGUCUCAAAUUACAACUUACUGUCUAACUCGUUGUCUCUGGUAAUAAAACUUCAGCAUCCGAAAUAGAUUAUCUAGACUAAGAAUUUCUCAUGGCAAAGCUACUAAGGAUCGUGGCAAGGCUGUUAAGGAUCAAGGUGAAGAUGUAAAGGAAUACAAUUUACCUCAACCUGUUUAAAUUUGUUGAAUCCUUCUCUUCUUUCUGCGUAUACCCCCCUUGCUUCGCACUGCCUCUCCUUCUUCUCUAUCUAUUCAAAUUGCUUUCUUCCUUUAUUAUUGUUGUACGCUGAUUUCCCAAUCCCUACUCCCUGCUCUUUUUUUCCGUUAAUUUGCUGCAGCCCUUCGCUGCUUUGGGCCGUUAGCCCACUAUUCUUUUUUUUAAAAACAAACCAACAAUCUGCCUCUCCUUUUUUUAAAACAAAAUCAAAAGACAAAAAUGACCUUACUUCAAUGUAGGGUAUUACAUUCUCCCCACCUUAAGAAAUUUAGUCCCCGAAUUUAAACAAGUGCAUACUGGUGGAUUGAAACAAGUGGAGGUACUUGAUUCACAUACCAUUUUCUGAUUCCCAAGUAGCUUCUUCAAUGGUUUUAUUUUUCCAUAAGACUUUUACGGAUAUAAUUUCUUUUUACUAUAACCUUCUUACUUGCCUAUCAACAAUAGACAUUGGUUCCUCUUCAUACGUUAAGUUCUCAUCAAUUGGCAUAGUCGAUGUUUCACCUUAGAGAAACCUGAUAUAUAUUUCCUUAUCCUAGAGACAUGAAACACCGGAUGGCUGGAAGAUAUCUCAUGAAGAACAUGCUGAUGAUACACCACAACUCUUACCUGGUCAAAUAUUUUGUAUCUCAUCUUUCAUAGGGGAGUCUCAUAGGAACACUUUAUCCUCAACAUUGAACACUAAGUCCCUUCUUCGCUUAUCUGCAUAAUGUUUUUGUUUGCUAUGAGUUAUAAGCGAGCUUUGUCUGGUUAUUUGGACUUUGUCAAUAGCUUCUUGAACCAAGUUUAGUCUCAUACAGUAGCCUGCCCAAAUACAAUAAAAUCGCCUACCAUACUAAGCUUCACACUUCACCUUAUGAAAUCUUGACUACAAUUUACUUUUGUAUUCAAGUCAACUAAGAUAGGUAAGUAACCCAAUUACCUCUAAAAUCAAGAGUGCAAAUUCUUAAUUAACAUAUCCACUAGAAUUAGUAUAGUACACGCAUACUGACCUUCCUUUGCAAAUCAAAUACAGUACUAUAAUAUCUAAUCAUAACAUACUCGAGGCUUCUUGGAAACAUUUCCAAGAGAUGAAGUAAACAAUGAUUCUCUAUCAGAUAUUGUUAACACAAAAUCCCUUGGGGUCAAACAAUUCCACUCAGGUAAGUUUGUGCAUAUUUUUAUCCAUUGCAUCUGAUUUUUGACCAGUAAAAAAAAGAAUGUGCUAACCUUGUAGAAACGAUUUAUGCUUCCCAUACAGGGUCAAGAACUCUAAGGGUAUUAAAAUAGCUCGGCCAUAAAAUUCAUAGUAGCUCUUUUCCAUUUCCACUUUGGAUGUCUAGUGGUGGCAGUUGGCUACAAGCCAUUGGAGCUCAACAUUGGCCUACUGAUAAGGUCCAACUACUAGAAAGAAAGUCGAUGCCAUCCUUCUUCAUCUAUUCCUGCCAAUAGAAUUGAUUUAUUUCACGAUACAUUUUAGUGGAUCUAAGGUCCAAAAUAUGUUUAAAGUUAUGGACAUGAACAAUAACCUCUCUCACACCAUCUAUGUUUGAUUAUCAUAAUCGACCUCUUAGUUUAAAGGAAACUUAAUUGUCAAUACUCAUAUUUGUGCCUUUACUCACUAGAACCUUAUUUCAGUAUUCACAUUUCACACAAUUUCUCAUCCUUGUAAUAGGUGGCCUUGAUGUGUUCUACCAAUAAGGCUUGUCUUGAACAUAAGACAACAAUGUUUUUGAGUUCCUCAUGCUAAUUUUAUACCUAUAUCCUCGAGUGUGCAUACAUCUUAAGUCAAAAGUCUAUUUGCAAGAUUUGCAUGUCAAUUACCCCAUGGAUUUGCUUCUCAAUACAUCUAUCUUAACAUUUUCCUUUUCCAGAUGACAUUGAAUAGUAAAUUUUUCAGUCAUUGAGUAAUUUCCUCCGGUGGUGUAGAUUAAAGAAUCAAAUCUUUCCUUCUGAACAUGAAUAUCAAGUUCUUGUAAUUCUGUAUAAAUCUCGUUAGUUGCAUUGUACAAAUAGCACAUCUAAAUCUCUACAACAAAUAUCAUCGAGACUAUCUUCAAUUUAUGAGUGGGAUAGUUCUGCUCCCUACAAAUUUAGCUUUCUCAAAACAUAAGCUAUUACACUACCAUUUUAUAUAAGAACAUAUUCUAAUUCCAUCCUCAAAGCAUCACAAAGCACCAUGAAUGCUCCAGAUGCUAACCAUAGCACUAUUACUGGUAUGGUGGUCAUUAUGUCUUGAGCUUAUAAAUCUCUACUCACAUUCCGUCAUCUACUGAAAUUUGUUUCUUUUCUUUUUUAUAACUUGGUCAGUAACACAACAAUUCUUUAGAACUACUCCACCAAAUAUUUAUAGUAGACUGCCAAGUGAUUCUAUCUUUUUAGUAUACAUAAUAAUUUCAAUUCGCUGAUACACUUUACACUUAGAAAAUUUUCGACAUAAAGUUGAUAAUCUUAUUGUGUCUGAAAUACCAUCCAAAGAUGGUCCUUUUGUUCAUUACAGUCAUGAGAAUACACUCAUGUACGAUCACUAACCAUUGGCGCAUAUCUUUCAAGUAAUGCCUUCAUAACAACAGGAGCAUAUGUCAGUCCAAAAGAUAUCGCAUAAAACUUUUUAAUGCAUCUGUCAAGUUUUUGAAAGCUAUCUUAAAAUAUUUCCGCCAAUUCUGGACUUAUGGGAACCAACCAAAAGAUCAAUAUUUGAGAAUUAUACGGCUUCGUGAAACAUAUCAAAUAGGUCAUUUAUACGAGGCAGUUGUUCCUUAUUGCAUAUCGUUACAUAGUUUAACUAUUAGUAGUCAAUAAUAUUUCCAAGUACUUGAGCCCUUUUCUUUCUCACCAGGUAUUUGUGUACAAUUGCGUCCUAUAAAGCACUUUACAGUAGGUCCGCCAACUAUUUCUUAGCUCACUUUACUACAUUGAUAUCAUAUGACAUGGAGGUAUCAAAAUGGGCUAGGUGUCAAGUGCCAAAUCAUUACCAAAAAUCUACUUCUUGUAUGGGAGGUAAUCGAAACAAAUCUAUAGAAAACACAUCAUUUAAUUCUCUCACUAAUCCAUUUCUUUUAACAUAGAUAGGAAGCAUAUGAUUUUUUCUUCACGGGCCACUAAGUCACAACAAUAAAAGAUAAAACAUUUCCUAUUUUUGUAACUCCCAUUCUUUUCUUCUUUCCUUCUUUUGAAAAUAAUUGAUUAAUCGAUUCUCAACUAAACUAUCUUCUCAUGACAUUUGAGAGUAUCCUGAGAGGAAACAACCCAUUCACCCACAAUGACAUAUCAAUUAAACCAUAUAAAUAUGAUUUGGUUAGUUAUGUAAUCCUUCCCUCAAUUCUACCUUGACAAGUGUUGUAUACAUGUCGAACAAAAGAAGAAUACCCCACAGGAGUAGAAACCAAUAAAAGUAUUGCCCAAUGUGUUGAGAAUUAACAAUUUCCAACUCUUUACUACAAUUUCCAUAGAAGGAUUUCUUAGUUUUGGCGUUCUCAAAUAAUUGUUUGAUUGACCACUUAUCACAUUACAUAUUUCCAAUCUCUUAGCAAUAUCAAUUACCUCAAAGUAAGUUAAGGUCUUCAUUUGUAGGGUGGUUUAUGGGGCUAACAAACCCUCCAACAAACCUCUUAAUAAUAUUUCGUUCAAUAACAAGUAGGGAACAUAUCUAGCCAAUUGAAUAAUCCGGAGUCAUAUAUUAGUUCCAACCAUCAUUUUGAACAAAUUCCUUAUCAAGUUACUCAUUUUCAACUGUCCAGAAAGAAACAAUCCAUAAUAACUUAGUGAACUGCCUUAAGUCUUUGGUGUUCUCCUACUAGUAUUCCGAAUAGUAUAAUAUCAUGCCAUGUACUUGGUCAUGUCCCUUGUCUGAACGUUGUCAAAUUUACGGUACUCUUGUUUGAAUGUGCUAGAGCUCAUAAAGCUUUAAGUAUUUCAUCCAAGAAUCUUUACCAAAAAUCUCUAAGGAUCUUUGAGUUGUUAGAACCUACGAAUCUUGGAGGUUUCAUCUUUAGAACUCCUAAGCAUACUUUUUUUUGUAAGUUUGAAUCUUUGUAGCUGCGUGAAGAUGUCUUUAGACCUAUUUGCUGCCUGACUCCAUUCAUUAUGUCCAUUAAUAUUCUAAGUCAUUACAGGAACAUAUGUGGGUUAACAGGAACAUUCUUAUAUUGCUAAAGUGACAGAGUAAUGUUCUUUUCAGAAAUGACAUAUAUUACAUUACACAUAUUUGCACAAAAAUCUCUCAAAGUAGCAUAACGACCUCUUUCUUAGACCUUUCAACUACUUUAGUAAGCUCCCCUUAAUUGGAAGAGACAGAUGUUUACACGGUGAAACCUUUGGACUAUUCUUGUUAUCGGGUGACUAAGUUCAAGACAUGCGACCGAAAGAUAAACAAUGUUACAUUCAUCUAAUUCACCCUAUAAGUCAGAUACAUAAGGAGGAAUGAGAAAGAAACACAGACACAUCCUAUCGCGUCCUCGCAGAAUCACGAUUAUAGAAAUGGCCGGCAACAUAACCAUAAUUAAGAUUCUACUACUAACGUAUGUUCCUUAAGUCACAAGAAUAACCUAGUGCUCUGAUACCAACUUUGUCACGACCCGAAUUAGGUCCGUCACUGGCGCUAAGGGGAAAGAAUCCCAAAGCAAGCCUUAACAUAAAUCUAUAGAAAAUUGGGCAAAGUUUCCUUUGUUUUUAGGCCUAUCCUGAAUUUUUCAUGUCUCGAAAAUUCACAACACAACCAAUAGCAACUAUAAGCCACAACAUAAUAUCCUUCAAUGAUCUAAAUGUCACUCCAUAAACCCAAUUCAUCUCCAAAUUACAAAAAAAACAAGUUCCAACUAGUCACUUAACUACAAUACGAAGGGCUAAUCAUGACUCAAAUAAAAGGAAUGACAAAUGGAGCAACUCUAAGAGUUUUUAAAGAAACUAAAUAAACCAUAGCAAAUAAAUAGUUCUCUUGCCACGCGAAACAAUGCGAGGCUCACCAGAUGCUACCAAAUCACACUUUCUAGUUAAUGAAAUCCUCUUCAAUACCACCUGAGUUCUCUGUAAAAACAAUUAGUGAGGAGUGAGAUGCUAGCUCAGUGAGUAAAAACACUUAACCACAAACGUUUUAGUGAGGGCAAGUAAGAAAACAUAAUAGUAUGAUAGUCAAAACGAUAAAAUCACUGCCUUUUUCAAAUACGGUAACAAUAUUCAAUCUUAUGUUCCUCAUAUAAGCAAAAUCAAUGUAAAUACUCAAUAGUAAACUCAGAAAAACAUUUUCAUAUCAAAUCUUAUAGCUCGAGGUUUCCGAGGAUGAAUUAUGUAAUCAGUGUGGCCUUCUCUUUAAGAAGUAACCAAUAACAAUGAACUCCUCAUAAAUGAGCUAAAUAUUCAUAUCAGUAUAUCCCUACUCGAGGGAUAUCAGUAACAAUAUACAAGUUCUACAUUCCCACUAGCAAGGGCUUUAUCAGUAAUCAAUAACUACAAGGUGCACUAGGUCUAACGUACCCGUUGUUAGCUACGGGAUUCAUCAAUGUCUACUCCUAUUUUUUUUUCUUGUAAUUCAGUAGAAGCAUUUCAAAAGGGAUAAUGCAUAAGUACCCCCCUAGCCUAUGCUCGAAAUCCCAGAGACACACCUAACCUUUACUAAGGUCCUAUUACCCCCCCGAACUUAAUUUAUCUAUAAUAUUCUACCCCUUUUCGGCCUACGUGGCACUAUCCUUGAAAAAUUUGUCAACGUGCACUGGGCCCACAAGAUAGUGCCACGUAGGCCAAAAAGGGNNNNNNNNNNNNNNNNNNNNNNNNNNNNNNNNNNNNNNNNNNNNNNNNNNNNNNNNNNNNNNNNNNNNNNNNNNNNNNNNNNNNNNNNNNNNNNNNNNNNNNNNNNNNNNNNNNNNNNNNNNNNNNNNNNNNNNNNNGCAUUUUCCCCAUUUCAAAAUUGAACAGAGCAUUUAAAUCUUAUCAAAUCAUAUCAUUUCAAAGUUUAACAAUCACCUGUCAAAAAACUAUUUCUCAGAUAAGUGUAAAACAGUUUCAAUAACAGUAAUCAUAUCUUGUAAGAAUGAGAUCAGCUCAAAUAAUCUUUUCAGUAUCAUUUCCUGUAAAAAACUUGUCCCACAUUCAAGUUCAAAACAAUCGGUAACACAUUUACUUUAAAAACCAUGUCCAUGUAAAAAUCAUGAAAUUUGUGAAAUACAAAUUGUGGUAAGAUUACUACUCACAGUAGUCAUGUCGAAUUACCAAGCUCGUCACUCUAAUAAUUCGUAUGAAUUCCUUUAGUCAAUCUAUAAACACAUUCAUAUCAAUUUCGAGUUAAUCUCCUUGUUAUGGCUAAUUCAUAAACUAAGAUAAACAUUUUUCAACCCUUUUUGGAUCUUCUUGUCCAUCAAAUUGCUAAAUUAUAAUUAUCCUAGGUCAUAAGUAAUUUCAUUGAUGCACGAUCUCCUAACUUCAGCCAAUUUACAUAUCUUGUUCAUCUACUUCUGUCUCAAAUUACAACUUACUGUCUAACUCGUUGUCUCUGGUAAUAAAACUUCAGCAUCCGAAAUAGAUUAUCUAAACUAAGAAUUUCUCAUGUCAAAGCUACUAAGGAUCGUGGCAAGUUUGUUAAGGAUCAAGGAGAAGGUGUAAAGGAAUACGAUUUACCUCAACCUGUUUAAAUCUGUUGAAUCAUUCUCUU